rnacentral:rRNA from 1 species
UACAGAGGGUGCGAGCGUUAAUCGGAAUUACUGGGCGUAAAGCGUGCGUAGACGGUUAUGUAAGUCGGAUGUGAAAGCCCCGGGCUCAACCUGGGAAUGGCAUUCGAGACUGCAUAGCUAGGAUGCGGAAGAGGGAAGCGGAAUUUCCGGUGUAGCGGUGAAAUGCGUAGAUAUCGGAAGGAACACCAGUGGCGAAAGCGGCUUCCUGGUCCAGCAUCGACGUUCAGGCACGAAAGCGUGGGGAGCAAACAGG